GACGAACGCUGGCGGCGUGCUUAACACAUGCAAGUCGAACGGUAAGGCUCCAGCUUGCUGGGGUACACGAGUGGCGAACGGGUGAGUAACACGUGGGUGACCUGCCCUGCACUUCGGAUAAGCCUGGGAAACUGGGUCUAAUACCGGAUAGGACCACGGUGUGGAUACUGUGGUGGAAAGUUUUUUCGGUGUGGGAUGGGCCCGCGGCCUAUCAGCUUGUUGGUGGGGUAAUGGCCUACCAAGGCGGCGACGGGUAGCCGGCCUGAGAGGGUGGACGGCCACAUUGGGACUGAGACACGGCCCAGACUCCUACGGGAGGCAGCAGUGGGGAAUAUUGCACAAUGGGCGGAAGCCUGAUGCAGCGACGCCGCGUGGGGGAUGACGGCCUUCGGGUUGUAAACUCCUUUCACCAUCGACGAAGGGUUUCUGACGGUAGAUGGAGAAGAAGCACCGGCUAACUACGUGCCAGCAGCCGCGGUAAUACGUAGGGUGCGAGCGUUGUCCGGAAUUACUGGGCGUAAAGAGCUCGUAGGUGGUUUGUCGCGUCGUCUGUGAAAUUCCGGGGCUUAACUCCGGGCGUGCAGGCGAUACGGGCAUAACUUGAGUACUGUAGGGGAGACUGGAAUUCCUGGUGUAGCGGUGAAAUGCGCAGAUAUCAGGAGGAACACCGGUGGCGAAGGCGGGUCUCUGGGCAGUAACUGACGCUGAGGAGCGAAAGCAUGGGGAGCGAACAGGAUUAGAUACCCUGGUAGUCCAUGCCGUAAACGGUGGGCGCUAGGUGUGGGUUUCCUUCCACGGGAUCCGUGCCGUAGCUAACGCAUUAAGCGCCCCGCCUGGGGAGUACGGCCGCAAGGCUAAAACUCAAAGGAAUUGACGGGGGCCCGCACAAGCGGCGGAGCAUGUGGAUUAAUUCGAUGCAACGCGAAGAACCUUACCUGGGCUUGACAUAUACAGGAUCGCGCCAGAGAUGGUGUUUCCCUUGUGGCUUGUAUACAGGUGGUGCAUGGUUGUCGUCAGCUCGUGUCGUGAGAUGUUGGGUUAAGUCCCGCAACGAGCGCAACCCUUGUCUUAUGUUGCCAGCACGUUGUGGUGGGGACUCGUAAGAAACUGCCGGGGUUAACUCGGAGGAAGGUGGGGAUGACGUCAAAUCAUCAUGCCCCUUAUGUCCAGGGCUUCACACAUGCUACAAUGGUCGGUACAGUGGGUUGCCAGUCCGUGAGGGCGAGCUAAUCCCGUAAAGCCGGUCUCAGUUCGGAUCGGGGUCUGCAACUCGACCCCGUGAAGUCGGAGUCGCUAGUAAUCGCAGAUCAGCAACGCUGCGGUGAAUACGUUCCCGGGCCU
rnacentral:rRNA from 1 species